ACUCACUCUACCAUCUUGUCACAGCACUUACACUCUUAGGGCCCCUGGGAUAUCUAUUAAUCUGACUAUAUCCUGUCACCCUUCUGGGCCAAACCAUUCUGCUGGCAGAUCCCAUGUGGGAAGAGAGUGAGCAGGGGAGGGUCCAUUCCCCAUCCUGAGGUUGUUGGUGGAAGACGUUCACAGGAUUCCUCCUUCAGGUCCCUUCAGAUGGCCCCCACUAACUUAGGGGUUACAGGGUACCUUUGACUGCAGGUCACCUUCCUGUGACUUGACUUACAGAAUGGGCUUGCAUUUCCUGUACACACAGCGAUGGCUGGGCAUCCUGGAAGUGGGGCAGGCAGCUGAAGAACAGAGAAGCAAGGUUUCCACCUCACCCUACCGUACACAUGCUUUGGACUUUGGAAUCGAAGUUCAGGGGGCAUCUUAGACCUGCCAGUUUGAGGACGGACUCAGUCAAGAGGCACAGCGGGGGCCCCUGUGCAGGAUGCUCAUACCGGGCUAAAGAGACGAGCACUCAUGCGAGCAAUGAUGCGAGAGAGCUGGGCUCUGGCUAACUUCGGUCGCCUAGCAACCCUAACAGACAGACAGCCUGGCCAGUCACCGUUGGCCGUUGAUAUCCACCUGCUUCCUGAAGCUAGAGGGAGCCACAAAUCAAGUGCUGCCCCACCCGGCCUCCACUCUCCCUGCCACCAACACCUGACCUUCUUCAAGCCCCUAAAGAGGCAGCUGGGUGACCACUGCUUCUCACCUCGCCCUUUGCCCUCCACCUGAGACCCAUUCUGCAGCUUAAUCUGUGACAUUUAACAUAAAUAGUUUUCUAUUCCCA
rnacentral:lncRNA from 1 species